UACAGAGGGUGCGAGCGUUAAUCGGAAUUACUGGGCGUAAAGGGCGCGUAGGUGGUUGUUUAAGUUGCUUGAGAAAUAUCUGGGCUUAACCUGGGUGCUGCGAGCGAUACUGAAUAGCUAGAGUAGGGUAGAGGGAAGUGGAAUUUCCGGUGUAGCGGUGAAAUGCGUAGAUAUCGGAAGGAACACCAGUGGCGAAGGCGGCUUCCUGGACUCAUACUGACACUGAGGCGCGAAAGCGUGGGGAGCAAACAGG
rnacentral:rRNA from 1 species